rnacentral:lncRNA from 1 species
GGAGAAUGCAGAGCUGGGUCUGUGAACCAAUGCAGUACAGGGCCAACAUCUGUGGCCUCUAUAAUUAGAGGAUGAAAUACAAAGAAAAGAAUCCUUCACAAAGCAGGCCGCAGGGACCGGAUGUCUUUAAGCAGCGACAGAAUUCGGUCCUAUGCUGUACUUCCUUCCUUCUCCUUCCUUUACAGGUGACAAAACCUCCCAGAUCUAAAAGUUGGAUAAAGUUAAAUAUCCUGCCUAAGGCAGAUGAAGGCAGCUGUGGCUAGGCCUCCACGGAACAUGGAAAGGGCUGCAAAGUCCAGGCAAAGAGCACUGGCUCCAGCCUCCACAAGUCCUCUGUCCUCCCCUCCAGCAGCACCAAGGACCACCAGGACUCGGGCUGUCAGCUGGCCUCUUCAGAACUCCUUCCUACAGGUCAAAUCUUCACCCUGGCAACCUCUCACCUUGACAACAGUGUAAGGGGCAAAAGAGAAAGAAAUGCAGCCAGAGGCUUUUCAAUGAGACCCAAAUUCUUUCCGUGCCUGACUCAUUGUGUGUAGUCUCCCCUCCCCUAGCCUGAAACCUGCUUGCUCGGGGUGGAGCUUCCUG